CUUCAAUUCACAAAUAAUAUACAUCGUUUGAAUUUACAACAUUGUAAAUUAUUUUCAAGUAAUUGUUAUGAAUACUUUGAAAAAUCGAUUAAUUUCAUCUGUCCAUGCGUUGCAUUUGGCGCAAUCAACAACCAUGUGGAGACAAAAUAACGACUCGAAGAACACGACCAUCAAGUGCGCAAUGCGUUUUCGAAUUUGGUUCACGAACCAGAAUCGCGAGGUUCGCGAGGUUUUCUGCCACGACUCGCUCAUGAUUUUCUUGCGAUCGGAUUACCCUCGAAAAAAAUCCCCCACAAUCGCGUGUUUGCUGAGUCGCGAACCUAAUACUGUGGUCAGAACUUUUGCGAACUAUGGGUGGUUUUGUUUCUUGGCUGCUCCGAUUUGAAUACGAUUUUUUUAGUCCCUGCAUGGGACUCAUAUGCGAAUAUUUUUCACAUGGGAUACAGGGGUCAUAUUUUUUUCGAAAUUUCGGGAACAAACUUCUAACAAAAACUUGUUUAUAGGUAAAUUGGAGCACAAAGAAGGGUUUUCCAUCGAUAACUCAAAAACGAUGAAAAUGCACAUGGGACUCAUAUGCGAACAGGGGCAGUCCAUAACAAUUAACGUUAUAACUUUUCUCGCUUUGCUUCUAUGAAGCUCAUUUCUUCAGCAUUUGUGAACAACAUGUUCUGCAUCACGUUGAACGUAACUUUAUCAGAAUUGAUUCAUUGCUGAUUUUUUUUAAAUUGAACAAUACGAAAAACCGUCCACACUUACCCCGGUGUACCUUUUUUUCGAAAAUAAUAUAAAAAUUAUUAGUUUACAGAUAUUCGGUUAUUUCUCUUACGAUAAUAAACUGAAAUCACUAAAAAAUAAUAACUCACACUCAGAAAUGAACAUAAUAUAAAAAUUAUUAGUUUUCAGGUAUUCGGUUAUUUCCCGCAUAAUCAAUAACCGUACAACGUAUCGUCAAUAUUAUACUGAUCUGAUAACGGUAAUCGUUGCUGUCCGUGGCUUCACUAAUCGUGUGUCCGAAAUCUUGUGUAUUCGCUAAAGAAUAUACAAAAUGAUUUCCAAAAGAUACGGUUAAUGGUUGAAAAAAAAAAAUAACACGCAUCUGAUAGCAUUGCGUCUUCACUAUACAGAAGAAGUGUCUUGGAUGAAGAAGUUAUUGCGUCACUUCAAAACUUCUAAAAGAAUCCGGAAAGAAAAACCUAUUUCUUUACGAAAUACCCGAAUCGCUCGACUCACAGCGGAAGUGACUGCAUGCCCCCGCUGGCACCGAAUGUUGAGCUACGAUUUCUUGGUCAGAUCAAAGCCAGAAAGUCAGAAAAAACUGUUCUCUCACUGGAAGCCCCAAACCGUACAACACCAAAUGACACCGAAAAUAACCCCGGAAUUUACCUCUUCAUUUGAAAAUUUGUUAUCUUCCAAUGCUGCUGAACCGGUGGUGCCGGAACGAGCAGUUAUCGCUGUUAUUCACAAAAUCCACAUGACCUCAACCAAAUUGAUUAGAUUUGUUAAGAUCUCCAGGCAGCAGCUAUAUCAAAAAGUCAAAAAGAGAUUUUUCAAAAUCAUCUUAAUACCGGAAGCAUUACCUCGACGGUGUACUUUUUUAGAUGUCAGCAAAUUUUCUUUGGCUCUGGCGAUUGAGGAAUGGCUUAACCGCAAAAAAUCAAGAAUUCGCUACAAGGUCCAGACCUAAAUCCAUCACCUAAAUUCCGACAAAGAAUGUGGAUAAUUGGAAUUUCAUACCAACGAAAAAUGAAGGCCCAGACGAGGCGUUACGGAAGGCAUUCCUGAACGAUCCGCCAGAUCACACAGUGCUCCGAUGCACCUAGAAUUUCCGGCCACAUGUGCGGAAAAAUGCCUCUUCAUAUGCUCCAAAUGAAAAUGGAAACUCUUCCCUACGCCCAUGAAAAAAGUUGCGGAGCUGUUCGUGGGGCUGCUGAAAAUUUUCUGCUCAAACUGCUGGAGCGAGAUUUGAACCUUCAAGCUAGCAACGGGAAAGUCACCCUCGAUGCAGCAGAAGAGACCUUAUUAAAGCCAAUGACGCGAACAGUCAUCAACAACACAAACUUAAAAAUAGAACAAAAUAGUAGCUGGGAAACAUUCGGUGACCAAACAUACUUCAACCGGAUGUGGAAUAAUAUCGUUGAGGGUGGAAAUCGAAAAUUGUUUGAUUCAAGCAGCGUUUCAAUUUUUGUCCUAAGUAAGUUCUCAUACGGGAACCAAGAUGCAAGAAUCGGAAGUGUGACGAUGAUUACAACAUCAUCCGCUGUCAUUAUCCAAUUUCAUCGAGGCAAAACACAACCGACAGAAGCACUUAGGAGGAAGACAAUCGCGGACUCUAUGACCCAUAGGUGGAAAAAGAUGGAAUGUGUACCGGCCUACAGCACCAUGCACCAAUAAGUUUUCCGAAUUUGUCUAUACCUCCCUGACACCGUAGAAGAAUCAGAAGCAGCGGCACACGGAAUUUGAUAAAAUGUUAAUUUUGAAAAGUGUACAACUAGGCUUAAACUUAUUUUUUGAAAAAAAAAAAAUGAUUUUAACAUUCGGCGACCAAACAUACUUCAACCGGAUGUGGAAUAAUAUCGUUGAGGGUGGAAAUCGAAAAUUGUUUGAUUCAAGCAGCGUUUCAAUUUUUGUCCUAAGUAAGUUCUCAUACGGGAACCAAGAUGCAAGAAUCGGAAGUGUGACGAUGAUUACAACAUCAUCCGCUGUCAUUAUCCAAUUUCAUCGAGGCAAAACACAACCGACAGAAGCACUUAGGAGGAAGACAAUCGCGGACUCUAUGACCCAUAGGUGGAAAAAGAUGGAAUAUGUACCGGCCUACAGCACCAUGCACCAAUAAGUUUUCCGAAUUUGUCUAUACCUCCCUGACACCGUAGAAGAAUCAGAAGCAGCGGCACACGGAAUUUGAUAAAAUGUUAAUUUUGAAAAGUGUACAACUAGGCUUAAACUUAUUUUUUGAAAAAAAAAAAAUGAUUUUAAAGCUAGUUUUGAUUAUAAAUUUUAGUCUUUUUAUCAACACUACACGAUAUGCUGUAUCGUUAUUUUUCAUAUGAGACGAUCAUAUCGUAAAGAUUCCACGUAUGAUACAACUCGCUCCAGAGCGAUUAGAAAAAGUCAAAAAAAAUGAAUCGUUUAUUUACUUAACAACCCGUUCCCUGUAUCGGUAUUCGUGUCUAAACGAUUCCAUUUCAUGAAAAAACGAUUAAUAUAAUCGUUCAUUAAUAAUCCAAAAACGAUAAAGGGAAUCUUUUCGGUGUCUUGGGAAGAAGAUAAUGGGGAUCGUUAUUGUAUGAUACUGCUCCAUGCGGGUUCUCUGACGAUAAUAAACUGAAAUCACUAAAAAAAAAAAAUGACUCACGAUCAUUUCUAGCCAAGAAACGAUCCAAUGCAUAAAAUUUAACAACCGCGAGAUAUUUCUUUACAAAACAAACGCUUCCCAGGCAACCACUAAGCACUGUUAUAAGCCGUUUAACAGACGCAUAACAGCAUUUCAGUGCCUAUUGGCUUUAAUUUAGAUUUACAAAUGCCAGAAGGCUCUGUGACAUUCAAAUGACACAUAAGCCCUGUAUAAGCUAAGUGAGUUGAUAUCAGAGCUUAUAACCGGCCUGGAGGUGACGUUUUCAAUAUAAAUAAACAAAAAUCAACAUUAGAUGAAGUCAGUGAAUUCUUCCGGCGGUUUGUUUUUUUGCAAUGCUUCGGAUAAACCACAAAAAGCUACUGCGUGCUGUCCUCCCGGACGGCCCUCCUUGCUGCUGCUACUCCUGUUGGCGGCCUCUUGCUGGACAGCGACCUCGAUCACUGCUGCUACCGCUCAUUGGUGGUCUCUUGCUGCUGCUUCUCCUGGUAUCGGCUUCCCAUUGUUGUUGUUCCUGCGUGCUGUCCUUUCCGACGACCCUCCUCGCUGCCGCCAAUUCGGUUUGCAUCUCCUCAUCUCGGUCGGUGGCCUCAUCGCCGGUGCUACUUCCUGGCGGAGAUAUAUAUGGAACUGAUGGCAUGAACAACGAAGGAGCUGAUCGCGCGAUUGCUGUUGAAUCUGCGGUUAGUCAAAAAAAGGCCAAAGGAUCUGUGCCCGAAAAAACAGUGUCUGAAGUGAAGUGAGUUCUGAAGCGAGUUUAGGCUUCUACGGUGUAAAUUGUUCUGUUCUAGUGAUUGUUCGAAAAAAAAAAACUGAGAAUAUAUCGGUUGGAAAAGAAAAUUAUAUAGUGAAAAAUGUUUUUUUUUUUAACAAUUCUUUAUUUGAAACGGCUCAUACCUUUAGGCUUUAAGGAGCCAAAAUCGAUUUUGUUGUUUACAAUUGUUUUCUUAACUUAACACUUUGUGAGAGAAGAAAGGAAGAUAGAAAGGGAAAUAUGAAAAUAAAAAAGAAAUUAUAGACGAAGAUCGAUAGCUUUUAGAAAAAGGUAGAUUUCGAACAUGUAGUCCAAAUCUAGCACAGCUAGUACAUCUCUAACUGGAACAUUAGGUGGUUUUCCUCGGGCCCUAGUGAAAAAUGUUUUUGAAAUAAAUUAAAAAUUUAACACGUCAUACGCAUGAAUGUUUUCUUUCUUUCCUUCCAUCAUUCGUAUCUCGACUUAAAUUAUAAAAAGUUCAUA